ACGGAGCGUGCGUCUGGAAGCCCAGUCUGUAAGUUAAAAUGUAUGCAUGCAUAUAAACCAGUCAUUCUUAACAUGGAACCAAUGACAGUCAACAUGGUGCAUAUCAUGUGAUUGUUCUGAUGUUUGUCUCUUCCUGUCUUUUUUUCAGCUCAGCAGAUAAUACUUCCUCCACCACCUGCAUGAAACCAGCUGGUUGCCCAGAGCAGGAUGAGUCUUUAGUGACCCUACCACGGACUGCCACUUCAUCUUGGGACCCAGUUGAAGAAGAACUCACACAGAGGGAGGUGGCUCAGACAUGGAGAUCAAAAUGAGAG